GACAGAGGGUGCAAGCGUUGUUCGGAAUUACUGGGCGUAAAGCGCGCGCAGGCGGCUUUGCAAGUCGGGAGUGAAAUGCCGGGGCUCAACUCCGGCGCUGCUUUCGAAACUGCAUGGCUAGGGACCGGUAGAGGCUGGUAGAAUUCCUGGUGUAGCGGUGGAAUGCGUAGAGAUCAGGAAGAAUACCCGUGGCGAAGGCGGCCAGCUGGGCCGGGUCCGACGCUGAGGCGCGAAAGCGUGGGGAGCAAACAGG
rnacentral:ncRNA from 2 species